rnacentral:rRNA from 1 species
UUAAGUUAAUAAGGGCGCACGGUGGAUGCCUUGGCACUAGAAGCCGAUGAAGGACGUGACUAACGACGAAAUGCUUUGGGGAGCUGUAAGUGAGCAAUGAUCCAGAGAUGUCCGAAUGGGGGAACCCGGCAGGUAAUGCCUGUCACUCAUUACUGUUAAGGUAAUGUAGAGGAAGACGCAGUGAACUGAAACAUCUAAGUAGCUGUAGGAAGAGAAAGCAAAAGCGAUUGCCUUAGUAGCGGCGAGCGAAACGGCAAGAGGGCAAACCGAAGAGUUUACUCUUCGGGGUUGUAGGACUGCAACGUGGACUUAAAGAUUAUAGAAGAACUACCUGGGAAGGUAGGCCAAAGAGAGUAAUAGCCUCGUAUUCGAAAUAGUCUUUAUACCUAGCAGUAUCCUGAGUACGGCGAGACACGAGAAAUCUCGUCGGAAUCUGGGAGGACCAUCUCCCAACCCUAAAUACUCUCUAGUGACCGAUAGUGAACCAGUACCGUGAGGGAAAGGUGAAAAGCACCCCGGGAGGGGAGUGAAAUAGAACCUGAAACCGUGUGCCUACAACAAGUUCGAGCCCGUUAAUGGGUGAGAGCGUGCCUUUUGUAGAAUGAACCGGCGAGUUACGAUAUGAUGCGAGGUUAAGUUGAAGAGACGGAGCCGUAGGGAAACCGAGUCUUAAUAGGGCGCAUUAGUAUCAUGUCGUAGACCCGAAACCAUGUGACCUACCCAUGAGCAGGUUGAAGGUGAGGUAAAACUCACUGGAGGACCGAACCAGGGCACGUUGAAAAGUGCUUGGAUGACUUGUGGGUAGCGGAGAAAUUCCAAACGAACUUGGAGAUAGCUGGUUCUCUCCGAAAUAGCUUUAGGGCUAGCGUCGAUGUUAAGUCUCUUGGAGGUAGAGCACUGUUUGGGUGAGGGGUCCAUCCCGGAUUACCAAUCUCAGAUAAACUCCGAAUGCCAAUGAGAUAUAAUCGGCAGUCAGACUGCGAGUGCUAAGAUCCGUAGUCGAAAGGGAAACAGCCCAGACCACCAGCUAAGGUCCCAAAAUAUAUGUUAAGUGGAAAAGGAUGUGGGGUUGCACAGACAACUAGGAUGUUAGCUUAGAAGCAGCUAUUCAUUCAAAGAGUGCGUAAUAGCUCACUAGUCGAGUGACCCUGCGCCGAAAAUGUACCGGGGCUAAAACAUAUUACCGAAGCUGUGGAUACCUUUAUAGGUAUGGUAGGAGAGCGUUCUAUGUGCGAAGAAGGUGUACCGUGAGGAGUGCUGGAGCGCAUAGAAGUGAGAAUGCCGGUAUGAGUAGCGAAAGACAGGUGAGAAUCCUGUCCACCGUAAGACUAAGGUUUCCAGGGGAAGGCUCGUCCGCCCUGGGUUAGUCGGGACCUAAGGAGAGACCGAAAGGUGUAUCCGAUGGACAACAGGUUGAUAUUCCUGUACUAGAGUAUAUAGUGAUGGAGGGACGCAGUAGGCUAACUAAACCAGACGAUUGGAAGUGUCUGGCCAAGCAGUGAGGUGUGAUAUGAGUCAAAUGCUUAUAUCUUUAACAUUGAGCUGUGAUGGGGAGCGAAGUUUAGUAGCGAAGUUAGUGAUGUCACACUGCCGAGAAAAGCUUCUAGCGUUAAUUAUACUCUACCCGUACCGCAAACCGACACAGGUAGUCGAGGCGAGUAGCCUCAGGUGAGCGAGAGAACUCUCGUUAAGGAACUCGGCAAAAUGGCCCCGUAACUUCGGGAGAAGGGGCGCUGACUGAUGGUCAGCCGCAGUGAAUAGGCCCAAGCAACUGUUUAUCAAAAACACAGCUCUCUGCUAAAUCGUAAGAUGAUGUAUAGGGGGUGACGCCUGCCCGGUGCUGGAAGGUUAAGAGGAGUGCUUAGCGUAAGCGAAGGCAUGAAUUGAAGCCCCAGUAAACGGCGGCCGUAACUAUAACGGUCCUAAGGUAGCGAAAUUCCUUGUCGGGUAAGUUCCGACCCGCACGAAAGGCGUAAUGAUUUGGGCACUGUCUCAACGAGAGACUCGGUGAAAUUUUAGUACCUGUGAAGAUGCAGGUUACCCGCGACAGGACGGAAAGACCCCAUGGAGCUUUACUGCAGUUUGAUAUUGAGUAUCUGUACCACAUGUACAGGAUAGGUAGGAGCCUAUGACCUCGGGACGCCAGUUUCGAGUGAGGCGUUGUUGGGAUACUACCCUUGUGUUAUGGCUACUCUAACCCAGAUAGGUUAUCCCUAUCGGAGACAGUGUCUGACGGGCAGUUUGACUGGGGCGGUCGCCUCCUAAAAGGUAACGGAGGCGCCCAAAGGUUCCCUCAGAAUGGUUGGAAAUCAUUCGCAGAGUGUAAAGGUAUAAGGGAGCUUGACUGCGAGAGCUACAACUCGAGCAGGGACGAAAGUCGGGCUUAGUGAUCCGGUGGUUCCGUAUGGAAGGGCCAUCGCUCAACGGAUAAAAGCUACCCUGGGGAUAACAGGCUUAUCUCCCCCAAGAGUUCACAUCGACGGGGAGGUUUGGCACCUCGAUGUCGGCUCGUCGCAUCCUGGGGCUGUAGUCGGUCCCAAGGGUUGGGCUGUUCGCCCAUUAAAGCGGCACGCGAGCUGGGUCAGAACGUCGUGAGACAGUUCGGUCCCUAUCCGUCGCGGGCGUAGGAAAUUUGAGAGGAUCUGCUCCUAGUACGAGAGGACCAGAGUGGACUUACCGCUGGUGUACCAGUUGUUCUGCCAAGAGCAUCGCUGGGUAGCUAUGUAGGGAAGGGAUAAACGCUGAAAGCAUCUAAGUGUGAAGCCCACCUCAAGAUGAGAUUUCCCAUGAUUUAUAUCAGUAAGAGCCCUGAGAGAUGAUCAGGUUGAUAGGUUAGAAGUGGAAGUGUGGUGACACAUGUAGCGGACUAAUACUAAUAGCUCGAGGACUUAUCCAA